UGAGGAAUAUUGGUCAAUGGGCGCAAGCCUGAACCAGCCAUCCCGCGUGAAGGAAGAAGGCGCUAUGCGUUGUAAACUUCUUUUCCAGGGGGAGAAUUUUUCCGUCGUGACGGGAAUUGACGGUACUCUGGGAAUAAGCAUCGGCUAACUCCGUGCCAGCAGCCGCGUUAAUACGGAGGAUGCGAGCGUUAUCCGGAUUUAUUGGGUUUAAAGGGUGCGUAGGCGGAUUGAUAAGUCAGUGGUUAAAGGAUGCAGCUUAACUGUAGGCUUGCCGUUGAUAAUGUCAGUGUUGAGUAUGGUGAGGGCAGGCGGAAUGUGUAAUGUAGCGGUGAAAUGCUUAGAUAUUACACAGAACACCGAUUGCGGAGGCAGCUGGCUGGGCCAUCACUUACGCUCAUGCACGAAAGCGUGGGGAUCGAA
rnacentral:rRNA from 1 species